rnacentral:rRNA from 1 species
CCUACGGGCGGCUGCAGUGGGGAAUAUUGGACAAUGGGCGCAAGCCUGAUCCAGCAAUACCGCGUGUGUGAAGAAGGCCUUAGGGUUGUAAAGCACUUUCAAUGGGGAGGAAAACCUACCGGUCAAUACCCGGUAGCUUGACAUUACCUGUAGAAGAAGCACCGGCUAACUCCGUGCCAGCAGCCGCGGUAAUACGGAGGGUGCAAGCGUUGCUCGGAAUUACCGGGCGCGGUGCGUGAAGUCGCGUUUGAAAGCCCCGGGCUUAACCUGGGAACUGCAUUUGAAACUGGCGGACUAGAGUUGAGUAGAGGGGAGUGGAAUUUCAGGUGUAGCGGUGAAAUGCGUAGAUAUCUGAAGGAACACCAGUGGCGAAGGCGACUCCCUGGACUCAAACUGACGCUGAGGUACGAAAGCGUGGGUAGCAAACAGGAUUAGAUACCCUAGUAGUC